CGGCCCGGCCGCCCGGGGAGCGGAGGGAGGCGGGAGGCGGCUGAGGGCAGGGCAGGGGCUGAGCGAGGGGGGUUUUCUCCCGGGUCCCGUCAGGUUCAAGCCCCUCGGUGGUUGUGUGGAGGCCAAGCGGCGCUGCUGGAAGGCUGAGCUGCUGCCCAACAGCCCGGGGGAUUUGUGUUAUUCGUGGAAAACCAAAGCAGCUUGGUUUAAAAUGCUGACUUGAAUGGAUAGCGUGGACCUUCAGAGGAGCGCGCAGAAGGAGCAGCAGCGCCUGCAAGGUUUGGCUACAUCGGUUUACAGGCAACAAUUAAUGGGAACUCAGCUCCGUUGUAGGACUUCCAGCAUCCCGUGAAACAAAAUCUGGUACUUUAGGAGGCUCAGAGCAGGAACGUACCUGCCUUUGAGGGAACUGUGUGUACCACCCAAACGAGCUGUUGACAAGGAUGCUGGACAAGUGGUAUUCAUGUAGUCAGCAUUUCCUUUUAGACAUAAAAUGGAACACCCCACCUAGUGUUCCCCACGCUUUUGGAGGAUGGAAAACCACCCACGGGAAACAGAGUGUACAGUACCCAUGUGCAGCAUAAAAACAUUUCACAAAUAAUGAAAACAUCCCUUUUGAAAAUCUCAACAAAAACGGAUCCCAUUGGGACCAGACUGUCAGUGCCUCCCAAAACAAGGCAGAAAUAUCUAGCCUAUAAAACAUGCCAAAGGUGACCAGUAAGUAUCCCACUAACCUCUGAAACUGCUCACUGCUUUGUUUGCUGAGAAAAAGAAGUAUGACUUUUGUAUUUAAAUUUUAGGUGCCAUGUUAACAGGUUCACUACAUUACCCUUUAAGGUCUAUUCUCUCCUAACAGCUACUCAGGAAGACACCUAUCUGUCCGUUGGGAAAAGUGGAAUUAACAUCUCUUGGUUAUGCAGAUCAAUUCUGCUGGGCAUCAGCUUCUGUAACAGUGCAAAAGAAUUCUGGAAUCCCUGAAGAAUGACAGAUGUGAUCCAAAAGCAUCUUCCAGCCCAGAAGUUGGAAUUGCAGGGCAAUUUUCUCCAGACAAGACACUGACAACAAAGCAGCAAUGUUUCUUUCAAAAAAAAAAAUAAAAAACCAUGCCUAAUGUUU